UGUUUCGGCUAGGGGGUCAUCCCGACUUACCAACCCGAUGCAAACUACGAAUACCGAAGAAUGUUAUCACGGGAGACACACGGCGGGUGCUAACGUCCGUCGUGAAGAGGGAAACAACCCAGACCGCCAGCUAAGGUCCCAAAGUCAUGGUUAAGUGGGAAACGAUGUGGGAAGGCACAGACAGCCAGGAUGUUGGCUUAGAAGCAGCCAUCAUUUAAAGAAAGCGUAAUAGCUCACUGGUCGAGUCGGCCUGCGCGGAAGAUGUAACGGGGCUAAACCAUGCAC
rnacentral:rRNA from 1 species